CAAGAUGAAGUAGAAAAGUGCAGAUUUUAUCUGCUAUCGGAAACAGUUUUGUUGCAGCAGAUCUGUGACUGCCCAGUCCAAGAUUAUGAAGAAAGCCAGGGUUCAAAUGUUAGCCUGAACAGAUGUCGGAUUAUUAUCAUGAAUGAGGAAAUUAAAACCACUUACAUUUUGCCCUAGACAGAAGAUCUGAUUGCCUGCCCAGCCCAAGAUGAAGUAGAAAAGGGCAGAUUUUAUCUGCUAUCGGAAACAGUUUUGUUGCAG
rnacentral:rRNA from 1 species